rnacentral:rRNA from 1 species
GCUUGCACUAGAAAAACUUAGCGGCGAACGGGUGAGUAACACGUAAAGAACCUGCCUCAUAGACUGGGACAACUAUUGGAAACGAUAGCUAAUACCGGAUAACAGCAUUAACUGCAUGGUUGAUGUUUAAAAGUUGGUUAUGCUAACACUAUGAGAUGGCUUUGCGGUGCAUUAGCUAGUUGGUGGGGUAAAGGCCCACCAAGGCGACGAUGCAUAGCCGACCUGAGAGGGUGAUCGGCCACACUGGGACUGAGACACGGCCCAGACUCCUACGGGAGGCAGCAGUAGGGAAUCUUCCGCAAUGGGCGAAAGCCUGACGGAGCAACGCCGCGUGAGUGAAGAAGGAUUUCGGUUCGUAAAGCUCUGUUGUUAGGGAAGAAUGGAUAUGUAGUAACUAUACAUGUAAGAGACGGUACCUAACCAGAAAGCCACGGCUAACUACGUGCCAGCAGCCGCGGUAAUACGUAGGUGGCAAGCGUUGUCCGGAAUUAUUGGGCGUAAAGCGCGCGCAGGUGGUUUAAUAGGUCUGAUGUGAAAGCCCACGGCUCAACCGUGGAGGGUCAUUGGAAACUGUUAAACUUGAGUGCAGGAGAGAAAAGUGGAAUUCCUAGUGUAGCGGUGAAAUGCGUAGAGAUUAGGAGGAACACCAGUGGCGAAGGCGGCUUUUUGGCCUGUAACUGACACUGAGGCGCGAAAGCGUGGGGAGCAAACAGG